GACGAACGCUGGCGGCGUGCCUAAUACAUGCAAGUUGAGCGCUGAAGGUUGGUACUUGUACCAACUGGAUGAGCAGCGAACGGGUGAGUAACGCGUGGGGAAUCUGCCUUUGAGCGGGGGACAACAUUUGGAAACGAAUGCUAAUACCGCAUAAAAACUUUAAACACAAGUUUUAAGUUUGAAAGAUGCAAUUGCAUCACUCAAAGAUGAUCCCGCGUUGUAUUAGCUAGUUGGUGAGGUAAAGGCUCACCAAGGCGAUGAUACAUAGCCGACCUGAGAGGGUGAUCGGCCACAUUGGGAAUGAGACACGGCCCAAACUCCUACGGGAGGCAGCAGUAGGGAAUCUUCGGAAAUGGACGAAAGUCUGAACGAGCAACGCCGCGGGAGGGAAGAAGGUUUUCGGAUCGGAAAACUCUGUUGGUAGAGAAGAACGUUGGUGAGAGUGGAAAGCUCAUCAAGUGACGGUAACUACCCAGAAAGGGACGGCUAACUACGUG
rnacentral:rRNA from 1 species